AGAAAAACAAAAUGUGAUAUAUCCAUAGGAUGGAAUAUUAUUUGACCAUACAAAGGACUAAGGCUCCACAUCCCUCAUGCGGCCUGAACUUGCGACCCGGAGAUCACGAGCUGCAUACUCUACCGACUGAGCCAGCCAGAUGCCCCCAGAGCUGGUUUUAUAUUCUUUCAGAUUAUGUUUCAUCUUUUGAUCAAUGACCUUUAAAAGCAUUGUCCACUGAUAUAAAAGAGAAUUGUCCCUUUUUAUUUCCUACUUCUUUGACGAUACACGGGAUUCACUUAUUCCCGGGCUAGAAGAAUAUUUCGUAAUAUCCAGUAAACGAAUCAAAUUCUUCAAAGGAUAACACUGACUUCAAAGCCAAGUUAUAACAAGUGCCAUAAUAAUGAUCUACUUCCAGUUGGAAUUUCUUUUCCUCUUCAAAAGUACUGUCGCCUUUUUCAGGAACAGCCUUGGGAACGAAAAGGAUAAAUCUAUCAUCGAGUCUCUCCUUAAUGCACUCAAAUAGUUCCUUCAAACGAGCGAUGGAGCACAGUGAAAACAUUGUAGCUCUUCUUUCACUUGCCAUAAUCCUUACUAAAGUGACUGACGGCUACGGACAAGAGGUCGGACAAGAAGUCGGCAGCUUCCACUGAGGACGCCAGUCCCGCCUUCCCGGCGCGCGGCUCCCCACAGCCUUCCUUCCAGGCAGUCAGCCCGCACCGGAAGCAGACGGCCCCCUGACCAGGCGGUCGCGAGGUCAGCAGGAGCCUGACCCCGCGUCGGUGACGUCAUUUCCCCGCGUCGUCUGCGUCAUUUCCCUCACGUCAUCAUUUCUUACCGCCGUUUUCUCGUCUCCCAUCAUCGCAAGAAGGUUGAGUACAGUAAGAUAGAGAAAGAGGCCACGUUUACGUAAAUUUUAUUAUAGUGUAUUGCUAUAAUAGUUCUAUUAGUAGCUACUGUUGUUGUUUUAGAGAUUUAAUAUUUAUAAGAGACCCACAGAGAGAGGCAGAGACACAGGCAGAGGGAGAAGCCGCCCGAUGGGGGACUCGAUCCCGGGACCCCGGGAUCACGCCCUGAGCCCAAGGCAGGCGCCCAACCGCUGAGCCACCCGGGGGCCCUGGUAGUCACUGUUAAUCUCUAACUGUGCCUAAUUUACAAAUUAAAUUUUAUCGUCCAGGUGGAAAAACCAAGGAUUCGGUACUAUUGGAGGUUUCCGACUGAAGUUCUUGCAAUGUGUCUAAACCCCGUGGAUGAGGGCGGGACUACUGUAUAAAAAACCCAAACCAGAAUUUGGGGGGCCUUUUCUUCAUAAUUAAAGUGUGAUUGUAUACUUUAAGUGAUAGACUGAGAAUCCCUUCAAAUAGGUUUGUUAGGGAGCCUUUUUUUUUUUUUUUUUUUGAGAGAGAGAGAGAGAUUUAAAUAAUUCUGUUUUGAGAGCUGUGUUGAGAGAAGUAAAUAAUGCCAGCAUAGUCAUAGUCUCUUCAAUGGCCCAGUACAAAGAGUAUAAUGCUGCGGAACAGCAUUGGGAUAACUGCUGAGGUAAAUAGACAAGUCAAAUGACCAGACUUAUGAAGGAGUAACAGAUAAAACGAAGCAUUUUGGAGAGUUAACAACUGUAGCUUCAACCUUGAUCUUCUACUCACUUGAUGAAACCAGCUGCUAUUCUGUGAAGACACUCAAGCAUUUCUGUGAAGAAGAACUGAAUCUCCCAUGAAAAGCCAGCAUCAACCAAAUUAGUCACCUUAGAAGUGGAUUUGCAGCCCUUGGUCAAGCCUUCAGAUGACAUCAGCCCCAGUGGACAUCCAACAGCAACUUCAUGAGAGACCCCAAACCAGAACUGCCCAGCCAAGCCACACCUAAAUUCCUGACCAUAGAAAUACAUGAGAUAAUAAAUGAUUAUGGUCGUGUUAAGCUACUAAAUUUUAAAAUAAUUUAUUAUGUAGAAAUAGAUCAUUUAUACAAUUGGGAUCAGAAUGCAGAUUUGUCUGACUUAAAAAACAGUUCUCUUUUUUUUUCUCCCUUGCUACUUUUACUAAAAAAUAGCUUGUAUUACUGAGCAUGACUCAAACAGUUGCCCCAGGAGUAAGGUAUGGAAUCCAGGAGAGUAUUUGACUCGAAAAUUCUCAGUAUGCCCCAGUUAGAAAGCAACUUCCAAUAAAAGGCUGUUUUUCUAAUUUCUAAUUAGGAUUACUUUUUUAAAGUUUCAAGGGGCCAUCUUGAGUAUAUAAACUUUUACUGAAGUAGAUGAUAAUUUUAAGUGUUCACUUAAACAAUUUCACUUAUUAAAUCUGCUGUACAUAUUUUAAGUUGAUACUAUGUAAAA